rnacentral:rRNA from 1 species
AUUGAACGCUGGCGGCAGGCCUAACACAUGCAAGUCGAGCGAGUGGCGGAAGGGUGAGUAAUGUCUGGGAAACUGCCUGAUGGAGGGGGAUAACUAAUGGAAGCGGUAGCUAAUACCGCAUACAAUCGGAUGUGCCCAGAGGGGAUUAGAGAGGAGGUGGGGUAAAGGCCCACCUGGGCCACGAUCCCUCGCUGGUCUGAGAGUAUGACCAGCCACAAGGGCACUUGUACACGGUCCAGAGUCCUACGGGAGGCAGCAGUGGGGAAUAUUGCACAAUGGGCGCAAUGCUGAUGCAGCCAUGCCGCGUGGAGUAAGAAGGCCUGCGGGUUGGAAAGUACUUUCAGCGGGGAGGCGUUACCCGCAGAAGAAGCACCGGCUAACUCCGUGCCAGCAGCCGCGGUAAUAC